GCGGGCGUGGCGGAAUGGCAGACGCGCUAGACUUAGGAUCUAGUGCCUAUGGCGUGGGGGUUCAAGUCCCUUCGCCCGCACCA
rnacentral:tRNA from 1 species